CAAUUAAAUACUUAAAAUGUACUCUGAAUCUUUCUUUCCAAAGCAGACUGUUAGAUCAUAGUUCAACUAAAAAAGAGAUGGAUUUAGUUAAUUAACAACUUCUAAAAACCUCUCAUCAAAUCAAUGGUGAGUCCUCUGGAAUUAAAUAACACAGGCAGUGACUCUAAGCCAGGAAUGUUCUCCUAAACCACUUCAUGGCUCUCUGGUUCAUGCAGAAGCAUGUUGGCAUAUAAUGAAUGGCCUUGUAAACUGGAACAUCUGGAGUCAUUUAGAUGAUGAGAUAAGUGGAGUCUGAGGCUGCUCUGAGUGUCCAGCUGAAGGCUUGACCGGAAGUCAGGGCUGAUGGCUGAUACGGAACUCUUCCUGAGAACAAGUGGCUUAAACUGAACUGGCUGUCCUGGAGCAGACCUCAAGUGAGCUGCAUCUUUGAGACAUUAGCAUCUGGGGACAUUCUGAAACAACUACAGAAUCUGGAAGUUGAAUGCAAAACUGGAGAACUCUGCAUCCUGGUAUUUACACCUUCAGAUGACAUCUCCUUGAGUGAAGGCUGGACUACCCGACAGGCUUCCAUUGAGCAGAACACAGCAGAAGUGAUGGGGCAGCACUCCCAAGAUUAGGUGAUAGACUCUAGCCAUCAUCUCUUUUGUCUUCUCCUGUAUCACUCGCCUUGGGGGAAGCCAGCACCCUCAGCCUGAGGCCAGCCCUGCAGAGAGGGAUGGAGACCUGCCAGGUGGCUUGGAAGUAGGGUGCCCACUGUUCAAACAGUCUGAUGAGAAUGCAGCCUGUCCAACAACCUGACUGCAAUCUCCUAGCAACCUAGCCCUGGAAGCACUCAGUUAUACAAACUUAGAUUCCUGACCUGCAGAAAUGUGCUUAGUCCUUUCGUGAUUACAGACUGUGGCAUGGUGCCUCCCUGGACGCCUAGCACGUGAGGUGAUGUCUAUUCACUGCUCAGCGCACAGGCUAGGAGACAAGGGCGUGGCACUCAUGCCUGUGGCUUGUGAGCGUUUACAGAUCCACGGGAAGAUAUGUUUAAUGAAAUUACUGACUAAACUGUGAUUUUGGCUCCAUCCAUUAUUUUUCAAGCCCUUGCUCUCUCUGUCCGCUGCCACCCAACAGUGAAUUGCUGUCUUGGGCUGUGCAUGCAAAGAAAUGACUCUCCACAUGAAGAAUAGUUUGGAAACUUGAAUGCUGGAAAUCAUGGACACCCAAGCUCUGUGGUUGUGGCAGCUCUGGAUGAUUAAAAAUCUGCCUGCAGGGCAGCCCUGGUGGCUCGGUGGUUUAGCGGCGCCUUCAGCCCAGGGCGUGAUCCUGGAGACCUGGGAUCGAGUCCCAUGUCGGGCUCCCAGCAUGCAGCCUGUUUCUCCCUCUGCCUGU